rnacentral:lncRNA from 10 species
UGCUCCCAUGAAGCUCCUCCUCACAGAUGCUCUGGACAGAUAAAGAACCGGCUCUGACCCGGCCCACUGCCCGGGUUAUCCUGACUUACAGAGAAAUUCCACCUUGCAGCCUGACCUUGUUCAUUCCCUGCUGGACCCGCCUGAGGCUCUGCUCCAGCCUCCGCCAUGCAGUGGAGAGCCAGACCAUGGGCGCCUGCUCUCAAAGGUCCAACAGGCUAGCCACGGAUAGACGAGCAGAUGAGUCCAUCCAGCUGGAGCCAGGGGCUCUGGCGCCCCCACCCCCAUUCCUCAGGGCAGAGCCAUGAUGAGUGACCGUGGCAGAUGGCUGCAUCUCCUUUUCUGGUCCCACAUGCAGGGCCGCGUUAAGUGAGGUAGGUAAGCUGACCCUGCCCUUGCAAGAGCCCCAGAGUGGGCGCCUCCUUCAAUGUUACGCCCAGGGCCCCUCCCUUGCCUUGCCAAGUCCUGGCCCUGCCCAGACGCUCAUCAAGAAUUCUCACUGACCCCUUUGUAGAGACACUGUUGCUGCCCUGGAGCUUCUACCUGAGUUGCAGGGCAGAGCAGGGCAGCUGAGAAAGGAGAGGCAGGUGGGGGAUGAAGCUCCCAGGAGCUGACAUUUUCAGGUUGAUGGUGCACCAGGGACAUACCCAGGUCACACACCUUCAUGGUGAUAACACGGCCCCAGUCUUCAGCUGCAGAGACUGAUGCUAAGAGAGGGCAAGUGACUUGCCUUGGAUCACACAGCAGGUAAGAGACAGGGUCUGGAUUCCAACCCUCUCCUCUGCUGCUUGUGAAAUGUGGAGGCAGGGAAUGGAGUGAUCCGGAUGGUGAGUAGCUGGAAGGGUCCAGGCCAGCUCUCUGAGGAAGGGAGGACUUGGGGAAAACCUUGGAACAUGUGUUCAUCGGAAUCGAAGGUGAGGAGGUGGGAGAAUGGGCCUUUUAGAUGAGGGCGCCUCCUGAUAGCUGGGGUGGGGGUGGCUGAGCCUGGGUGGAUCCUGCAGUAACAGACUGAGAGUCUGUAAUAUAGCCCUCCACGUGCACAGGGCAGGAGACGAGGCCCAGAAAGGGAAAUGCAUUGCUUCCUGCCACACUACACGGGGAUGGCAGAGCCAAAGCUAGAACCAGCAUUCUUCCACCAGGAAUCACAGCAAACAAAGCAAAACCAAAGCAAAAAAAAAGAAAAAAAAAACACCCAAAACAAUAUUUCAGUCCACCAGCUAGUGAAGUUACAAAAAAAAAAAAGAGAAUCAGUCAUCCCAGUCAUUUAGUAUCUUGUGGGCAAAACAAGUGGCCGUGUGACUGCAUCCUGCCCUUUGCAUCCAAUCCCACGUGGCCCCAUCCCCCCCUGCACCCCCAACCCCCACAGACAGCCAGGUCCCUGAGGCAGCCAGCCCCAGACCCAGGCCGCUGACUUUCCUGAAGCUUAAAGUCAAGUUGCCAAAACAAACUUCUUUUGUCUUUCUUAGUUUUUCCGUGUUUAAAUAAUAAUAAUCUGAAAAUGAAGUCAUUGUGCUGUGGCUGCUGCCACCUGCCAGCACUGAGUCCCCAGUGUCUGAAGGGCAGCUCCUGGGGCGCACUGUGGCCGUCUCACCGGGUCCCACUCGGGGAUCAGCCCCACACCCUGGCAUCACCACCCUUUUCUCUCCCUCAGCUCAUCAACGCCAUCCAGCAGGGUCUCCUUCUCUUCCCCACGACGGAUGGCAUUGCCGCUUGCUGGGAGCUCCCUCCAAUUUAAGACAGCUGCCUUCUACAGAGACAGGCGCUAUCUGGAGACAGAAUUCCCCAGCCUUAAAGGGGGAUGCAUUUUAAGGGGUGGAAUUUGGGCCCUGGGCAGCUGACAGGUAGGGGAUUUUUCAGAGAGGAAGGGUAUUUGGAGCCCUAGCGUCAUAUAAGCACACACUCUGCCCAGCCCGGCCCCAAAGCCCCAGCUGCUCCCCUUACUAGGUUGACCCAGCAGUCCUUGGUCUUGGCCUUUGUGGCCAGGGUGGCCCUGGCCGGCUCCCUGCUGCCUUCUUUUCUCAGCAGGGACCUCUCUGGGAUCAUUCUCUUGGAAUCUUACUCUUCCUCCACUCCUGCACACAGCCCCGGAGGCCUGGUACCCAGUAGGUGCUGCGUGGUGGUCACAGAACUGAGAAACGAAGACCCCUGAGCUCCCUCUCCUUGCCCAGCGUUCAAGUUUCUUCCCACGGGGCCACGGAUGUUCCCUGGGAAUCCGGGAGUGCCGAGGCUUCCUAGGGCUUCUGUCCAAGGACCACAAACCAGGUGGCUUCAAGCAACAGAUAUAUAUUCUCUCACAGUGAUGGACGCCAGAAUCUGAAAUCAAGCCUGUUCCUGUUUGCCCUAGGGCUUGGCGAGGCCUCUCCUGAGAGCUCCUUCAAUGCGAAAGCCAGUGUUCUGGGAGGUUCACAGCUUUUCUCUCCUCCCAGCCUGGGACUGGGCUCCAAGCCGAUGCUACCACUUCCCGCUGGGUGAGCUCCCUAUGGCUCAGGGCUUCUGUCACAAAAGUGGGAAUGAAAACACUUCCCUCACAGGGUGGGGUUGAAAAUGAUACCGUCCUGUAUCCAUGAAACUGCCUGGUGCAGGCUGGGCCACAGCAGGCAGUGGCCGAUGUGUUCGAGAUGGAUCUUUGCACAGACAAAGGACCCCAGGACUUUUCCAGUUCAGAAACCUUGAAGCUCCUAAAUCCCAAACUGCAGCUGUCCGCAGGCCCAGUGAACCUCGCUUCUCCCAGCAAGAGCUGGUCAGCAAGAGCUAUCUCCAGCCUCGCUUGUUAAACUAUUCGACUUGUUAAAAAAAUUAUGCAAGUAUUAUAUGAAACACAUUCUCUCUGUAAGAAAAUAAAGCACUACAGAAGCAUAUAAAAUCUAGAGUAAGAAAUCCCUUUCCUGGCUGGGUGCAGUGGCUCACGCCUGUAAUCCCAGCACUUUGGGAGGCCAAAGUGGGUGGAUCACCUGACAUCAGGAAUUCCAGACCAGUCUAGCCAACAUGGCAAAACCCUGUCUCUGCUAAAAAUACAAAAAAAUUAGCCGGGCGUGGUGGUGUGUGCCUAUAGUCCCAGUUAC